UUCCUUUUGCAGGUACCUGGAUGGUGCCAGCUGUUACCUGAAGGAGGCAAGAUGCUUGGGCAGGGAGCUUCAGGCUUUAGAUCAAUUUCCAAGGACAGACAAAAGUAACUUUAAUGAAUUUUAGUGUCUGCAAUGUGUUGGUGGAUUGCCAAAGAGGCACUUGAGACCCCCUUAUUCUGGGGUAGCAGCUCUUGGGCAAGAGACAGAGACAGAAAAGGUGUCAGCAAACACCAGACUCUCCCAGCCAGCUCAACCUCUUCCCUGUUUCUGUGGCAGGAGAAGAUCAUCCCCAUGCUUUCAUCCUUUCAGCAGCACAUUCUGAUGUUCCUUGUGCAGCUUUGAAACCAAGAAGCAGAGGUGUUUCCCAGCUGUGCAGAAGUUCUGGGCUGGUGGUGGUGUUCUGGGGAGGUCGGCAAAGAGGAUUCUAUGUGGAACUUCCCUCCUGCUGAGGUGACUCACCCUAGCAAGCAACAAUCUGCAGCCCAUCAUGGCCAUGAGCCAUCAGCCCUACAGCUGACCCCGUGCCCUCACAGAUCAUAUACAUCUGGUUUUUUCAUAAGAGUGGAAAGUCAGAAGACCCUUGGGCCUGGAGAUGGGUUCCUGACAUUCUUUGUUGUGGUUAAUUUCUGGAAAUUCAGGUAGUGGUUCAUCAGUUCUGACACACGCAUAUCAGUGCCUGAGCUACUCAUUCUGAAUUCCUUCUGCUGCUGAGGAAGACAAUGAGGCAGUACUGGUGUGCUGCUUGACUGGCCUAUUUUAGAAAUCUGCAUUCAUUUGAGAGGAAGGACACUGCCUACUCCUGUGUAUUUUUCUGCUUAUAGAAGCAAUUUGGAAUAUCCACAGAGGUGUACACUUCACACUGGCCAUGCAUUUAGUGGAAGGACUCACCUCCUCAUAACUUGAACAGUCUGAUGACUUAAGCAUUGGGCAAAACCUCUGCCUUCCCCAGACAAGCCGAGUGAAAGCCAGGCAAGUAGAGAUCUGGACACAGAAGGUCCUGGCUGUAGGGGCCCUCUCCCCUGGUUUGCUUGUCUGAUGGAUAUCUGUCAGGGUUGUGACCACUAACCUGCCAAAUGAAAAGCUGGUGCAGGAUUUUGCUUGUCCCAAGGAGGAAUGGCUCUUGGCUCUUGACCACCAGUAAAUAACACGUGCAGGAGAUCUAAGGUCCUAACAGUGCAAAUAAUGUGCUUGUCCAUGAUGGAGAAAAAAUAGCCAUUCCUUUUUUAAUGUGCUCAAUAAUUUAGAACAUCCUUCCAAGUCACCUAAUUUUGGUUCCUCGAGGACCACAUCUUCCUCCUUUGCAGGGAGAAUCUUUCUGUGAGCGAUGAAGGCAGCAGAGUGGCUGUGAAGGAGGCGGCAGGGGAGCAGUGCCAGAGUGCUGGCAGUUGAUGCUGUGCUGCUCUCAGGAGCUGGGAGGUGUCUCUGGAUCUUUACAUAGCACUGCCUCUACUCUGCUGAGACGUGGGAGGCAUUGGAAAGAUGGGAUACAUCCUGAUACUGACAGCAGAUGCAUGCAUUACAAAUACUCUUCCCUUUCCUUUACCUUGUCUGUUCCUGAUGCUUCCCUCCCCAGGUUUUGCCCACCUCUUGUUUUCUUGGUAUUUUUUUCAUUCCUGUAAGACAGGAAUGGGUCUGAAAAUGUUGAAAACCCUCAGGCAGCUUCCACAUCAUGAAACAGUGCUGAAUUUUCUAGUGCCAUUUCUCUUCUAAAUGCUUUCCUGGUUUUGGAAGAAAAGCCAGUGAUGUAGUGUAAAUGUUUUAUCACCAUGUGUUUGGGAAGCCUGCUUUAUUCAGCCUGAACUGAUGCUAAUAAAAAUUUAAUGCUUCUC